rnacentral:rRNA from 1 species
UAAGUUUGAAGUGAAAUCCUAUAGCUUAACUAUAGAACUGCUUUGAAAACUGUUAAUCUAGAAUGUGGGAGAGGUAGAUGGAAUUUCUGGUGUAGGGGUAAAAUCCGUAGAGAUCAGAAGGAAUACCGAUUGCGAAGGCGAUCCACUGGAACAUUAUUGACGCUGAGAUGCGAAAGCGUGGGGAGCAAACAGGAUUAGAUACCCUGGUAGUCCACGCCCUAAACGAUGUACACUAGUUGUUGUGAGACUUGAUCUUGCAGUAAUGCAGUUAACACAUUAAGUGUACCGCCUGGGGAGUACGGUCGCAAGAUUAAAACUCAAAGGAAUAGACGGGGACCCGCACAAGCGGUGGAGCAUGUGGUUUAAUUCGAAGAUACACGAAGAACCUUACCUGGACUUGACAUAGUAAGAACUUUCUAGAGAUAGAUUGGUGUCUGCUUGCAGAAACUUAUAUACAGGUGCUGCACGGCUGUCGUCAGCUCGUGUCGUGAGAUGUUGGGUUAAGUCCCGCAACGAGCGCAACCCUCGUGUUUAGUUGCUAACAGUUCGGCUGAGAACUCUAAACAGACUGCCUACGCAAGUAGGAGGAAGGUGAGGACGACGUCAAGUCAUCAUGGCCCUUACGUCCAGGGCUACACACGUGCUACAAUGGGAUAUACAAAGAGCCGCAAUACGGUGACGUGGAGCAAAUCUUAUAAAAUAUCUCCCAGUUCGGAUUGUAGUCUGCAACUCGACUACAUGAAGUUGGAAUCGCUAGUAAUCGUAGAUCAGCUAUGCUACGGUGAAUACGUUCCCGGGUCUUGUACUCUACC